UCUUCAGGGAUGAAUUUAUACAGUGACUUUCGUUCUUCUGAGUCAACUGAAGCCAGCCUUUCUGUUCUGAGAAGA
rnacentral:snoRNA from 1 species